GUCUUUACCAACAUCGAAAUAUGCAUACCAUUUAAAAUACAAUCUACUGUGAUACAAAAUUAGUCACAAGGCGUAAGACCUUGCAGCAAAAUAACAAGUAUACUUCUACACAAGGUUUUUUACCAUGUAAGGACCUUCAAGCUCAUAGCCUAGCUUUCUGUAGUAAUGCCGGGUCCCUACACCCGAUAUAACAGCGAUUUUGGUCGACCUAUGCUCCCUCCGAGCAAUCCGCUCAGCCUCCUCCAUCAGCAGAGUGCCAUAACCCUGGUGCUGCAGCUUAUCUGUGUCUCGACCAUGAACAGGAACUGCAGUCCCAUACACAUGAAGCUCACGAACAAUUGAACACCUUCCCGUAAGUUCUGGGCAAGUCACAUUCCGUCCACACUUCCGCAGCCGUAGCAAUCCAACAAGAAUAUCCUGGCGUGUAUCUUCAUAUGAAAGGAAAGUCUCCCAUCCUUCAUUUGCAGUAUAAUCGCGGCGAACAAGCUCAACCUCUUCAGGCCUUAUCUUGUUGUGAAUGUCCUGGAUCCCAGCUUCGCGUGUUCGGACAUCUCGGCAUUUCAAGCCAAGAUCAUCCAUUCGAGCUAAAGCCAGUUCUCGGAGAUUCCCUUUCUCAACUCCAGAAGUCACUAGAGGCAUAGGGAUAUCACGUUGGACCCGGUAAACUCGGGUCCAGGGUGGCACCAUAGAAAGAAUCCUUGCUACAAUGUCUACAAGCUGCUCUGGCGGAUAAUUUCUAUACCUUCCAGUUUUCCACAGUUCAUAGAGUCCUGUGCCACGAAUAACAAGUGUAGGAUAAAUUUUAAGUCCAUCAGUCCUAAAUGAAGGACUUUCAAAGAAUUCCUUGAAACUCUCCAAGUCUCUUUCAACGCCAACAUUUGGAAGGUCCGGCAUCAUAUGAGCAACCACCUUGAAGCCAGCAUCUUUUGCCAAACAAAAGCAAUCAGCCACAGCUGCAACAGUGUGGCCUCUAUUGGUGUCACGAGCAACAUCCUCAUACGUACUCUGUACUCCAAUUUCUAGCCGCGUACAACCGUAAGAAAGCAUUUGUCUCAGAUGAGGUCCAAGGCAGUAGUCUGGCCUCGUUUCAAUUGUCAUCCCAAUGCACUUUGUCGCCCCAUGUUCAGAGUAUGCGACAGCCUCUUCAACAUUGGCAGAAGUAUGUCCGGAUAAAGCAUCAUGGAGAUUCCGUGUGAAGUAAUCACGGUAUUCAGCAGGCAAUGACAUGAAUGUACCUCCCAUCAAGAUAAAUUCAACCUUGUCAACACUGUGACCCAAUCUCUUAAGUUGAUCAAUCCGGCUUCGAGCUUGUACAUAAGGAUUGUAUCUAGCUCGAAUAGCUCGCAUACUAGUAGGUUCAUAUCCCGUGUAUGACUGUGUACUGUACUCAAAAUCAGAAUCGGGGCCGCCAGGGCAAUAGACACAAAUGUUUCCGGUGGUAGCUAUAUGAGGACAACGAUGAGGCUUGGACAUUACAGCUACGACAGCUAUUCCAGAGGCUGUACGGACAGGCUUGGCUCGGAGUUUGGGAAGCAGUGUUUCACGUUCAGAGUCAGGCAAAGCAGCGAUCAUCUCUACCAACUUAGGAGCCCGAGAGAGCCCGUAUUUUCGGCACGCUGCUGACUUUAGCGCAUUUAGGUCAACAUCCUUGCCUUUCCGUGAGAGUUCCACCAUGUUGUUAACGAUCUCCGUUAUAGCACGAACUCUAGCUUCUUCUUCUGUCAGGCCGAGGGAAACAACUCCGCCCCUUCCCGGCCGCGGGAGCUUCCGGGUCUCCGCUACCGCUACCGCCG
rnacentral:misc_RNA from 1 species